rnacentral:rRNA from 1 species
AGGUCAGCAUACUGUGGUGAAUACGUUCCCGGGCCUUGUACACACCGCCGUCACACCAUGAGAGUUGAGAAUACCCGAAGCCCAUGUCAAAGUGGUCGAAGGUAGGCUUGAUGAUUGGGGUGAAGUCGUAACAAGGUACC